rnacentral:rRNA from 1 species
CGAGGAAAAGAAAUCAACCGAGAUUCCCCCAGUAGCGGCGAGCGAACGGGGAGCAGCCCAGAGUCUGAAUCAGCUUGUGUGUUAGUGGAACGGUCUGGAAAGUCCGACGGUACAGGGUGAUAGUCCCGUACACCAAAAUGCACAGGUUGUGAACUCGAAGAGUAGGGCGGGACACGUGGUAUCCUGUCUGAAUAUGGGGGGACCAUCCUCCAAGGCUAAAUACUCCUGACUGACCGAUAGUGAACCAGUACCGUGAGGGAAAGGCGAAAAGAACCCCGGCGAGGGGAGUGAAA